rnacentral:sRNA from 1 species
GUCUGGGAGCUGCUGAGUGCCCUGUGGAGGUACAUGGCCCAGGAAGCAGGGAGGGGGCACAGGUGUGCAGGGUCAGCCUGACGACCUUGGGUCCUUGCCCACAGGUGGACCCAGGUGCGGGGCUGGCUACGGAAGCUCAGUGCUGUAGUCCAACUGUCCCUUGUGGGCACUGCGACCGUGGCCUUGUUCCUGAUUAGCCUGGUGGGUAGCGCUGCAGGGCUGGGGGAUGGGCUGGGGGCAGGGCAGCCCUGAGAACCUCCCACCUGUCUCCAGGUGCCGUACUCCUACGUGGAGCCCGGGACCCACGGGCGCCUCUGGACCGGGGCCCACCGCUUGUUUGGCGCCGUGGAGCACCUACAGCUGGCCAACUCCUACGGCCUCUUCCGCCGCAUGACCGGGCUUGGUGGACGGCCUGAGGUGGUGCUGGAGGGCAGUUACGACGGCCACCACUGGACGGUGAGCCCUCCCAGGGCGGGCAGGGUGGUGGGGCCCAGGUCAGCAGGCCCAGCUGACCUCGGCUUGCCUGGCAGGAGAUCGAGUUCAUGUACAAGCCUGGGAACCUGAGCCGGCCGCCCCCGGUUGUGGCGCCCCACCAGCCACGCCUGGACUGGCAGAUGUGGUUUGCAGCCCUGGGCCCACACACGCACAGCCCAUGGUUCACAAGUCUGGUCUUGCGCCUGCUGCAGGGCAAGGAGCCAGGUGCAGAGCGGGCUGGGGAGGGGUGGAGUGGGCUGGGGAGGGGUGGAGCGGGGCGGGGAGGGGAGGGUCAGGGUGGGUACUGUGGGGGCCACGCUGACGCCUCUCGCUGCAGUGAUCCGCCUUGUCCAGAGCCAAGUGGCCAGGUAUCCCUUCCACAAGCAGCCGCCCACCUAUGUCCGAGCCCAGCGCUACAAGUACUGGUUCUCCCAGCCUGGGGAGCAGGGCCAGUGGUGGCGGCGCCAGUGGGUGGAGGAGUUCUUCCCGUCCGUGUCCCUGGGGGACCCCACGCUGGAGACGCUGCUCAGGCAGUUUGGACUACAGGAGAAGAGCCCACCUCGCACCCGCAGCGCCAACAGCACCCUGGCCCAGGCCCUCCACUGGACUCGCACUCAGCUGUCUCCCCUGGAGGCCCCCGCCCUGCUCUGGGGGCUCCUCAUGGCCGUGGGGGCUGUCAGAGUUGUGCAGGCCCUGUUAGCACCCUGUUCUCUCUGGUCCUCCCCCCUGGCACCAGUCAGCAGGGAGAAGCGCAGGCCAGCCUCCCAGAAAGACUCUGGAGCUGGCUCCGAACAGGCCACCACAGCCCCCAACCCCUGCUCCAGUAGUUCGAGGACCACCCGGCGAAAGAAGUAGCUGUGUUCUCCCAGCUGCACGUCCUGAGAGGGCCAGGUCGCCGGGAGUGCUCUGGCCUCCGGCAGGACAGGACCCAGCCACUGUGCCUUAGCUGACCCUGCAGGGCCGGGCACAGGUUGGGGGGCUGUCC